UACGUAGGGGGCGAGCGUUGUCCGGAUUUAUUGGGCGUAAAGAGCGUGUAGGCGGCCCGAUAAGUCCGCCGUGAAAGUCCAGGGCUCAACCCUGGAAUGCCGGUGGAAACUGUGGGGCUGGAGUCCGGAAGAGGCGAGUGGAAUUCCUGGUGUAGCGGUGAAAUGCGCAGAUAUCGGGAGGAACACCAAUGGCGAAGGCAGCUCGCUGGGACGUUACUGACGCUGAGACGCGAAAGCGUGGGGAGCAAACAGG
rnacentral:rRNA from 1 species